rnacentral:rRNA from 1 species
GACACACGGCGGGUGCUAACGUCCGUCGUGAAGAGGGAAACAACCCAGACCGCCAGCUAAGGUCCCAAAGUCAUGGUUAAGUGGGAAACGAUGUGGGAAGGCCCAGACAGCCAGGAUGUUGGCUUAGAAGCAGCCAUCAUUUAAAGAAAGCGUAAUAGCUCACUGGUCGAGUCGGCCUGCGCGGAAGAUGUAACGGGGCUAAACCAUGCACCGAAGCUGCGGCAGCGAACGUAUCACCCAAGACAACUUUACGGAGUUGACGAUUGACGGAGCGAAGCGACGUCAAAGCGUUCAUUAAAGUCGAGUUGGCUUAGGGAUACGUUCGUUGGGUAGGGGAGCGUUCUGUAAGCCUGUGAAGGUGUGUCGUGAGGCAUGCUGGAGGUAUCAGAAGUGCGAAUGCUGACAUAAGUAACGAUAAAGCGGGUGAAAAGCCCGCUCGCCGGAAGACCAAGGGUUCCUGUCCAACGUUAAUCGGGGCAGGGUGAGUCGACCCCUAAGGCGAGGCCGAAAGGCGUAGUCGAUGGGAAACGGGUUAAUAUUCCCGUACUUGGUGUUACUGCGAAGGGGGGACGGAGAAGGCUAUGUUGGCCGGGCGACGGUUGUCCCGGUUUAAGCGUGUAGGUGUGUGUUCCAGGUAAAUCCGGUUCACUUUAACACUGAGGCGUGACGACGAGGCACUACGGUGCUGAAGCAACAAAUGCCCUGCUUCCAGGAAAAGCCUCUAAGCAUCAGGUAACACGAAAUCGUACCCCAAACCGACACAGGUGGUCAGGUAGAGAAUACCAAGGCGCUUGAGAGAACUCGGGUGAAGGAACUAGGCAAAAUGGUGCCGUAACUUCGGGAGAAGGCACGCUGACACGUAGGUGAAGUGAUUUACUCAUGGAGCUGAAGUCAGUCGAAGAUACCAGCUGGCUGCAACUGUUUAUUAAAAACACAGCACUGUGCAAACACGAAAGUGGACGUAUACGGUGUGACGCCUGCCCGGUGCCGGAAGGUUAAUUGAUGGGGUCAGCGCAAGCGAAGCUCCUGAUCGAAGCCCCGGUAAACGGCGGCCGUAACUAUAACGGUCCUAAGGUAGCGAAAUUCCUUGUCGGGUAAGUUCCGACCUGCACGAAUGGCGUAAUGAUGGCCAGGCUGUCUCCACCCGAGACUCAGUGAAAUUGAACUCGCUGUGAAGAUGCAGUGUACCCGCGGCAAGACGGAAAGACCCCGUGAACCUUUACUAUAGCUUGACACUGAACAUUGAGCCUUGAUGUGUAGGAUAGGUGGGAGGCUUUGAAGUGUGGACGCCAGUCUGCAUGGAGCCGACCUUGAAAUACCACCCUUUAAUGUUUGAUGUUCUAACGUGGACCCGUAAUCCGGGUUGCGGACAGUGUCUGGUGGGUAGUUUGACUGGGGCGGUCUCCUCCUAAAGAGUAACGGAGGAGCACGAAGGUUGGCUAAUCCUGGUCGGACAUCAGGAGGUUAGUGCAAUGGCAUAAGCCAGCUUGACUGCGAGCGUGACGGCGCGAGCAGGUGCGAAAGCAGGUCAUAGUGAUCCGGUGGUUCUGAAUGGAAGGGCCAUCGCUCAACGGAUAAAAGGUACUCCGGGGAUAACAGGCUGAUACCGCCCAAGAGUUCAUAUCGACGGCGGUGUUUGGCACCUCGAUGUCGGCUCAUCACAUCCUGGGGCUGAAGUAGGUCCCAAGGGUAUGGCUGUUCGCCAUUUAAAGUGGUACGCGAGCUGGGUUUAGAACGUCGUGAGACAGUUCGGUCCCUAUCUGCCGUGGGCGCUGGAGAACUGAGGGGGGCUGCUCCUAGUACGAGAGGACCGGAGUGGACGCAUCACUGGUGUUCGGGUUGUCAUGCCAAUGGCACUGCCCGGUAGCUAAAUGCGGAAGAGAUAAGUGCUGAAAGCAUCUAAGCACGAAACUUGCCCCGAGAUGAGUUCUCCCUGAGACUUUAGGUCUCCUGAAGGAACGUUGAAGACGACGACGUUGAUAGGCCGGGUGUGUAAGCGCAGCGAUGCGUUGAGCUAACCGGUACUAAUGAACCGUGAGGCUUAACCUUACAACGCCGAAG